AAUUCGAUUGAGUUUGAUCAUGGCUCAGGACGAACGCUGGCGGCGUGCUUAACACAUGCAAGUCGAGCGGUAAGGCUCCUUCGGGAGUACACGAGCGGCGAACGGGUGAGUAACACGUGAGCAAUCUGCCCUUCACUCUGGGAUAACCCUCGGAAACGAGAGCUAAUACCGGAUACGACCACUUCAGACAUCUGAUGGUGGUGGAAAGUUCUGGCGGUGAAGGAUGAGCUCGCGGCCUAUCAGCUUGUUGGUGAGGUAAUGGCUCACCAAGGCUUCGACGGGUAGCCGGCCUGAGAGGGUGACCGGCCACGCUGGGACUGAGACACGGCCCAGACUCCUACGGGAGGCAGCAGUGGGGAAUAUUGGACAAUGGGCGAAAGCCUGAUCCAGCAACGCCGCGUGAGGGAUGACGGCCUUCGGGUUGUAAACCUCUUUCAGCAGGGACGAAGCGCAAGUGACGGUACCUGCAGAAGAAGCACCGGCCAACUACGUGCCAGCAGCCGCGGUAAUACGUAGGGUGCGAGCGUUGUCCGGAAUUAUUGGGCGUAAAGGGCUCGUAGGCGGUCUGUUGCGUCGGGAGUGAAAACUCAGGGCUUAACCCUGAGCCUGCUUCCGAUACGGGCAGA
rnacentral:rRNA from 1 species